rnacentral:ncRNA from 1 species
AAAAAUGCGUUGAAGAGAAUUAGUAGGUUUCAGGAAAUUUACAGAGAACUGCUGUAAGGUGAAAAGCAGUAAUGGAAUGAAAGUGAACUCGUCUCUAAGCAGCUCGCUGAACGAUCGACAGUAGGUGGAGCCGGGGCCUGGCCGUUAAUAGACAGGAGGGUAUCGAUAGUACAUCCGUACCUGUAGAGAGCAUACCCGCUGCGGGUAUGAAUUAGAGUGGUAACGCGUAAGAAUAUAAUCUUUCGUCUCUUAG